CGCGUAGGCGGCGGACCUUGUCGAGUGUGAAAGCCCUGGGCUCAACCUGGGAGGUGCGCUCGAAACGGGUUUGCUGGAGUUCGGGAGAGGAGCGUGGAAUUCCCAGUGUAGAGGUGAAAUUCGUAGAUAUUGGGAAGAACACCGGUGGCGAAGGCGGCGCUCUGGACCGAGACUGACGCUGAGGCGCGAAAGCGUGGGGAGCAAACAGGAUUAGAUACCCUGGUAGUCCACGCUGUAAACGAUGUGUGCUAGACGUUGGGGAGCGCAGCUCUUCGGUGUCGCAGCAAACGCUUUAAGCACACCGCCUGGGGAGUACGGCCGCAAGGUUAA
rnacentral:rRNA from 1 species